UACGUAGGGUGCGAGCGUUGUCCGGAAUUACUGGGCGUAAAGAGCUCGUAGGUGGUUUGUCGCGUUGUUCGUGAAAUUCCCUGGCUUAACUGGGGGCGUGCGGGCGAUACGGGCAGACUGGAGUACUGCAGGGGAGACUGGAAUUCCUGGUGUAGCGGUGGAAUGCGCAGAUAUCAGGAGGAACACCGGUGGCGAAGGCGGGUCUCUGGGCCACUACUGACGCUGAGAAGCGAAAGCAUGGGGAGCGAACAGG
rnacentral:rRNA from 1 species